UACGGGGGGAGCAAGCGUUGCUCGGAAUCACUGGGCGUAAAGGGUGCGUAGGCGGGUCUUUAAGUCAGGGGUGAAAUCCUGGAGCUCAACUCCAGAACUGCCUUUGAUACUGAAGAUCUUGAGUUCGGGAGAGGUGAGUGGAACUGCGAGUGUAGAGGUGAAAUUCGUAGAUAUUCGCAAGAACACCCGUGGCGAAGGCGGCUCUCUGGGACGGUACUGACGCUGAGACGCGAAAGCGUGGGGAGCGAACAGG
rnacentral:rRNA from 1 species